UUUAGCUUCCACUUUCGUCUUUCGACCCCUAUGACGUCUGCCACUCCAAGAGGAUGGUGAAGAACUGAAGAUUCAUGCCUCUUAAGAGCAGACAGGAAGAAGGUUCUGCCUCACCAAGAAGCGAGGUUGUGGUGUUGCUGGAUGCGAUGGUGCCGUGGAGGAUGGAGGCGCGGCUGGCGGCCACGGUGCGGGCGGCGCUCCUCGGCUGGCUCUUCUUCUGCCUCACCGUCGCCAGCGACGUCGCACGCCAACUCAGGAGCAGCGAUCUCUCCGUCUAAGGCCGGCCGCGUUGACAUCGCCGGCGGCAAAGAACAGACUCUGCGUCUACGAAGUGCCACUCCAUCUGGUGCACAGGAAGAAGAUUGAUUUACAGCAGGGUAACCAGAUGCGAUUUUGCAACGAACCCGCAGUUAGGUGCAGGUGCUCGUCUUUAGAAGACGGUUGUCCUUGAGACUCAUUGAGCAGAUGAUCCCUGUAAAUUUUCAACUAAAGCGUGUUGUUCCUUGGCUCAUUUUGGGGGGUCAGCAUGGUUAAUUUCCAGCUAGCAUCACUGACUACGACCUGAAAUGCCUUUUUUGGUGAAAUUACC
rnacentral:rRNA from 1 species